GUGAGUACAGAUCGGCUAUCAGUAGUGAUGGGGCCGUGUGUACAAUUUAUGAGUGUGGUCUUUACAUACAUUAAUCCUUGUUCCAUUGAUUAUAAAUACGACAUUUCGUAAUGGUGUGUCCAGUGCUGCAGUCACUUCUGCCAUCAGAUAACUAGUGACUGUUUAUUUGUGCCGGGUAUGGGAUCCUCAUUCCAGGUGCAAACAUCAGCUGUAACAAGGUUUGAUCUCUGCCGUGAUGCUCACCAGGUAUUGUACCUACUGUGACAGACUGUUUUACCUGAUAUUAAUUUGAGUGCUUAUGGCAGAUGUGAUCAGGCUAUCUAGCACCGUGAGCCACAAAUGCCUUGCCAUGGGACAAGUUAUUCCGAAUUGGGAUCCCCCUGCCCCGGUGUCAGCUAGACUUAGCACAAAAGAACUUGGUUGGACAGUGGGCCGCUCUCUCCAUUUUGGGAGGAAUGAGAGACGAGUAAACAAAAAAUUACAAAAACUAAUGGUGUGGGAUCACUGUAGCAUGUUAAAUGGUUGUAUCAAACUUACUUCAUUUCAUAUUGCAUUUAUGAAUCAUUAAAUUGACUUUAUAACAGACACU